rnacentral:misc_RNA from 1 species
GCAAGCUGACGAUGCUGCCAUCUGGCAGGAAGAGAAAGCACAUAUCAUUCCAUUGAGAAAAUAAAAAUGUACAGAACAAUAUUUUAAAAUUCAACAUAUAAUAAAUGAAUAAUCAAAUCUUUUAAAUUUUCUGUCGUGGAACUAUGGGCAAAAAAUGCAAUUAAUACAUGCUUAGUUUUUUAAAGAAACAAGAAGUUUCCAAAAUGGCAACAAAAUUGCCAGUAGAAGCAUAGUAUAGGGUUGCGUCUCAGUGCAAAGUUCAGAGAAUGACACUUUCAAAGCAUUUAGUUAGCAUUGUGCAAACAGACCUUUUUCCUCUUUUCUUUUGGUCCCUUUAUUAUUCUGUGGCUUUUAAGUAUCUAUUCCCCAAACUAUAUGGAGAUUACUUAACUAGAAGAAGUAGCAGCAUGAAUUUCUAACUAAAAGGUAAUUAUGAUUCCUUUCAUAAGAAGAAAAUCCUCGCUUCUUCAGUGCUCAUGAUUUCAAUUAUAAAGUUCCAAUCAUAUGAUUACUUGUCAUUCAAACAGGCACAGUCAAUCUAGGGAUCUCAAACACCACUUAAAUUUGCCAAUGAAAUACAUAACGUGCGAAAGGACAUGGAAGCAUCCAACCACUUAAAUUUGCCAAUGAAAUACAUAACGUGCGAAAGGACAUGGAAGCAUCCAGCUCAAAAACUAGCAGGUCCUACACUACCCUUUUUUUUUUCAUGUAAUUCUAGUUUACCAAGCCAAUAGUUGGAUUCAAUUGCUACGCAAAGCAGUAUUUAGUUCAUCUAUUCUCAUCUUCACAUCCAAUUUCAUUUUCUACAAUUAGCUACUGAAAUCUUU